CCAGCUCCUUGGCCUUCUGCAUCACAUUUACAAGCCUCAUCAUGCAAUAAAACUGUAAAAAUUCCCGCACUUCCUGCUGCAGCAUCUGGGCAAAAGUGUCUUUAUGCUGUAGACAAAAAG